rnacentral:rRNA from 1 species
UAUCCAUGGCCAGGUUGAAGCGACGGUAAGACGUCGUGGAGGACCGAACCCACUUCAGUUGAAAAUGGAGGGGAUGAGCUGUGGAUAGGGGUGAAAGGCCAAUCAAACCUCGUGAUAGCUGGUUCUCUCCGAAAUGCAUUUAGGUGCAGCGUCUUGUGUUUCUCUCUGGAGGUAGAGCUACUGGAUGGCCGAUGGGCCCUAAAAGGUUACUGACGUCAGCCAAACUCCGAAUGCCAGAGAGUGAGAACAAGGCAGUGAGACUGCGGGGGAUAAGCUUCGUAGUCGAAAGGGAAACAGCCCAGACCACCAACUAAGGACCCCAAGCGUUUGCUAAGUGGAAAAGGAUGUGGAGUUGCACAGACAACCAGGAUGUUGGCUUAGAAGCAGCCACCAUUAAAAGAGUGCGUAAUAGCUCACUGGUCAAGUGAUUCCGCGCCGACAAUAUAACGGGGCUCAAGCAGACCUCCGAAGUUGUGGCAUUUGUACAUUGCCCGGCCGUAAGGUCCAGGCGUACAGAUGGGUAGGAGAGCGUCGUGUGGCGAGCGAAGCGGCGGUGUGAACCAGCCGUGGAUGCCACACGAGUGAGAAUUCAGGAAUGAGUAGCGAAAUGCGGGUGAGAAACCCGCACUCCGAAAGACUAAGGGUUCCAGGGCCAGGCUAAUCCGCCCUGGGUAAGUCGGGACCUAAGACGAGGCCGACAGGCGUAGUCGAUGGACAACGGGUUGAUAUUCCCGUACCGGCGAAGAACCGACCAAACUAACCCAAUAAUGCUAAGUGCGCGAAUUCCAGUCUGAAGCCUUCGGGUGGUGGAUUGGAGCUAGUUCACGACCCUAAAUUGGUGCGGUUAACGUAUUAACAGGUGUGACGCAGGAAGGUAGCCUCCGCGGGGCGAUGGUUGUCCCCGUUUAAGGAUGUAGGGCGAGAGAUAGGCAAAUCCGUCUCUCACAUAGCCUGAGAUCUGAUGAUGAGUCCUUACGGACGAAGUGGGUGAUCCUAAGCUGCCAAGAAAAGCAUCGACGUGAGGUUCAAGCUGCCCGUACCCCAAACCGACUCAGGUAGUCAGGUAGAGAAUACUAAGGAGAUCGAGAGAAUCGUGGUUAAGGAACUCGGCAAAAUGGCCCCGUAACUUCGGGAGAAGGGGCGCCUGAGGCGUGUAUGGAUUUACUCCAAAAGCGCUGUAUGGCCGCAGAGACCAGUGAGUAGCGACUGUUUAUCAAAAACACAGGUCCGUGCGAAGUCGCAAGACGAUGUAUACGGACUGACGCCUGCCCGGUGCUGGAAGGUUAAGAGGACGGGUUAGCAAUUUAUUGCAAAGCUCGGAAUUUAAGCCCCAGUAAACGGCGGUGGUAACUAUAACCAUCCUAAGGUAGCGAAAUUCCUUGUCGGGUAAGUUCCGACCUGCACGAAUGGCGUAACGACUUCCCAGCUGUCUCAACCACGAACUCGGCGAAAUUGCACUACGAGUAAAGAUGCUCGUUACGCGCAGCAGGACGGAAAGACCCCGUGACCUUUACUACAGCUUGGUAUUGGUGUUCGGUGUGGCUUGUGUAGGAUAGGUGGGAGACUUUGAAGCGGACACGCCAGUGUUCGUGGAGUCAUUGUUGAAAUACCACUCUGGUCACUCUGGAUAUCUAACUUCGAACCGUAAUCCGGUUCAGGGACAGUGCCUGGUGGGUAGUUUAACUGGGGCGGUUGCCUCCUAAAAAGUAACGGAGGCGCCCAAAGGUUCCCUCAGCCUGGUUGGUAAUCAGGUGUCGAGUGUAAGUGCACAAGGGAGCUUGACUGUGAGACUGACAAGUCGAGCAGGGACGAAAGUCGGGACUAGUGAUCCGGCAGUGGCUUGUGGAAGCGCUGUCGCUCAACGGAUAAAAGGUACCUCGGGGAUAACAGGCUUAUCUUGCCCAAGAGUCCAUAUCGACGGCAAGGUUUGGCACCUCGAUGUCGGCUCGUCGCAUCCUGGGGCUGUAGUCGGUCCCAAGGGUUGGGCUGUUCGCCCAUUAAAGCGGCACGCGAGCUGGGUUCAGA